CUGAGCGUCGGGACGCGCGUUUCGCACCUGAGCUCUCUGACACAGAUAGAUUCCGUUUUGUGCGCAAACCGUAUCCAGAUGGCAUGUGCUUGAGGAAUAGCCAGAGUAUUCAUUUCGUGUGUUUCUAUUUGAGUAUUACUUGUGAUUGACAAUAAUUUACACACAAGGUGAUAUUUUCCGGGCGGGCGGCGGCCGACCGAUACGAUACGGCCCAGACACGCAUUAUCGAAAGGUUGCUAGUUUUACCAUCUGCGAACUAUAGAUAUUCCCUAAAAGUGAUUCGGUGUUUCGUGCAGUGAAGUGAUUUGUUACAAAUCUACAAAACAGAUAACAGUUAACCAACAAUAA